rnacentral:rRNA from 1 species
UACGAAGGGGGCUAGCGUUGCUCGGAAUCACUGGGCGUAAAGGGUGCGUAGGCGGGUCUUUAAGUCAGGGGUGAAAUCCUGGAGCUCAACUCCAGAACUGCCUUUGAUACUGAAGAUCUUGAGUUCGGGAGAGGUGAGUUGAACUGCGAGUGUAGAGGUGAAAUUCGUAGAUAUUCGCAAGAACACCAGUGGCGAAGGCGGCUCACUGGCCCGAUACUGACGCUGAGGCACGAAAGCGUGGGGAGCAAACAGG